rnacentral:rRNA from 1 species
UACGGAGGGUGCUAGCGUUGUUCGGAAUUACUGGGCGUAAAGGGCGCGUAGGCGGCCGCUUGCGUCGGAUGUGAAAGCCCGGGGCUCAACCUCGGAACGGCAUUCGAUACGGGACGGCUGGAGACCGGGAGAGGAGAGUGGAAUAGCCAGUGUAGAGGUGAAAUUCGUAGAUAUUGGCUGGAACACCGGUGGCGAAAGCGGCUCUCUGGCCCGGUUCUGACGCUGAGGCGCGAAAGCGUGGGGAGCAAACAGG